GCACGGUCUUCUGAGUCCCUCUUCCCCACAGCUGGCCGCCGUCCUCCCUGACUCCAGGGGCCCCUGAGGCUGCAGAGGAAGAGGCUUACUCUUUAGGUUCGGCCUCCGCUUGCUUCCUGAAGCGUGGAACUCGGAGCAGGACCUGCAGUCGCUGGGACCUCUCGAUACUCUAGUCAGUGGACAUCACAUCCAGCAACUUGCCCAGGGUCACGCAGGGCUGAGCGAGGAACUGAAGGAUUCUCCAGCUCCUCCUCUGAUCUCUCUGCUUCCUGCCUGCCACGCCAUGGACUG